AUGCCCAGAAAAUAUGGUAAGCUAUGUUAACAAGCCAUAUUAGAUAUCAAGCAUUAAUAUGGAAAUAAACCAGCCCACCUGCACCCAGGUGAAAUAAACAGCUUUAUUGCUCACACAAAGCCUGUUUGGUGGUCUCUUCACAUGGACGCGCAUGAAAUUUGGUGCCGUGACUCGGAUCGGGGGACCUCCCUUGGGAGAUCAAUCCCCUGUCCUCCUGCUCUUUGCUCCGUGAGAAACAUCCACCUAUGGCCUCAGGUCCUCAGACCGACCAGCCCAAGAAACAUCUCACCAAUUUCAAAUCCGAAUCUGACUUUUGUCUUUAUGGCUAAAGAAGCAGUGCUGUAUCCCACAGUAGUACAAAGGGCAAAAGAUGAGUGCCAGGCAUUGGGCUCUCACCAUUGGCCAAGAUUCCCUGCCCCGGUGAGGCCGGAAGCAGUUCAGACACCUGACUUCUGGCAACAUGUGAGCCUGACCCAAGCAGAUCACUGGUGACCAGUAAAUAUUGAAGCUCCAAGGUUCUUCCUUUAACAUACUGAAUUAAUGAGCCCCCUAGGGGCAUCCCCUAAAAUGACUGAGAUUUAAUUUCUCUCUAGCCUGAAUAAAGACUUAGAGCAGAUUAAAUUUGAUUUAGAGGAAGAAAAAAGCAGAGUGACUUUCUUACAACUUAGUAUUCUCAACUAAAAUUCAUACCCACAACACACAAAUACAUCCACACCAACACCCACCUAUCCACCUACCCACAUGCAUGCUUUGGAGGAUUUUGGAAGAGUGCUGAAUGGCAUGUUAUAAUUUUUCAAUUCGUUUAAAUAUUUAAAAAGUGAUAGUCUUUUAUGACUGGGUGCGGUGGCUCACGCCUGUAAACCCAGCACUUUGGAAGGCUGAGGCAGGUGGAUCAUUUGAGGCCAGGAGUUUGAGACCAGCCUGAGCAACGUGGCAAAACACCAUUCUACUAAAAUUAGAAAAAUUAGCCAGAUGUGGUGGCACAGGCCUGUGAUC
rnacentral:lncRNA from 1 species